rnacentral:rRNA from 1 species
UACAGAGGGUGCAAGCGUUAAUCGGAGUUACUGGGCGUAAAGGGCGCGUAGGCGGUUGUAUAAGUGAGAUGUGAAAGCCCUGGGCUUAACCUAGGAAUUGCAUCUUAUACUGUAUGACUAGAGUACUGUAGAGGGUAGUGGAAUUCCCGGUGUAGCGGUGAAAUGCGUAGAGAUCGGAAGGAACACCAGUGGCGAAGGCGGCUACCUGGAACGCAACUGACGCUGAGACGCGAAAGCGUGGGGAGCAAACAGG